rnacentral:rRNA from 1 species
GAUGAACGCUGGCGGCGUGCCUAAAACAUGCAAGUCGAGCGGUAAGGCUCUGCACUUAGUGUUUGAUCGAAGUAAUUUAUUACUACAGUAGACCAAUUGGAACCUUGGCGGGUGAAGAGCGGAAUAGGAAGAUCGAAUUAUAAGUGUAGAGUACACGAGCGGCGGACGGGUGAGUAACACGUGGGAAUCUACCCCAAACUGAGGGAUAAGCACCGGAAACGGUGUCUAAUACCGCAUAUGGUCUUCGGAUUAAAGCUUCGGCGGUUUGGGAAGAGCCCGCGUAAGAUUAGCUAGUUGGUGAGGUAAAGGCUCACCAAGGCGACGAUCUUUAGCUGGUUUGAGAGGAUGAUCAGCCACACUGGAACUGAGACACGGUCCAGACUCCUACGGGAGGCAGCAGUUAGGAAUUUUCCACAAUGGGCGCAAGCCUGAUGGAGCAACGCCGCGUGCAGGAUGAAGGUUUUCGGAUUGUAAACUGCUUUAUGUGUGAAGAAUA